rnacentral:tRNA from 1 species
GAAAUAUGAUAAUCAAGAAAAAGCUGCUAACUUCUUUCUUUAGCGGUUUAAUUCCGUUUAUGUUUCU